AGAUUGAACGCUGGCGGCAUGCCUUACACAUGCAAGUCGAACGGCAGCACGGGAGCAAUCCUGGUGGCGAGUGGCGAACGGGUGAGUAAUACAUCGGAACGUGCCCAGUAGUGGGGGAUAACCCGGCGAAAGCCGGACUAAUACCGCAUACGACCUACGGGUGAAAGCAGGGGAUCGCAAGACCUUGCGCUAUUGGAGCGGCCGAUGUCAGAUUAGCUAGUUGGUGGGGUAAAUCGGACCUAGGCCAAGGCGACGAGUCCGAUAGGCUGGUCUGGAGACGAUCGAAUCAGGCCAGAC
rnacentral:rRNA from 1 species